rnacentral:rRNA from 1 species
CUACGGGCGGCUGCAGUGGGGAAUAUUGCACAAUGGGGGAAACCCUGAUGCAGCGACGCCGCGUGAAGGAUGAAGGAUUUCGGUUCGUAAACUUCUAUCAGCAGGGAAGAUAGUGACUGUACCUGACUAAGAAGCCCCGGCUAACUACGUGCCAGCAGCCGCGGUAAUACGUAGGGGGCAAGCGUUAUCCGGAAUUACUGGGUGUAAAGGGUGCGUAGGCGGUCUGUUAAGCCAGAUGUGAAAGCCCGGGGCUCAACCUCGGGACUGCAUUUGGAACUGGCAGACUAGAAUACAGGAGAGGUAAGUGGAAUUCCUAGUGUAGCGGUGAAAUGCGUAGAUAUUAGGAGGAACACCAGUGGCGAAGGCGACUUACUGGACUGUUAUUGACGCUGAGGCACGAAAGCGUGGGGAGCGAACAGGAUUAGAUACCCCUGUAGUC